CGGCACACCUGAGCAGUCAGCCCAGACAGGACUGCAACCAAUCAGGGCUCCCUUUGUGGCUGCCAAAGGCCAAUAAGAGGGCUGGUGGGAUGGAUGAAAGAGAGGACUCAGAGCCAUGGAGUGGUAACAGGCGGCAGGUAGCUGCUGUAGGAAGCAGCUGAGGGGAGCGAGCGUGAGAGCUGAGCUGAGCUGGGCAAAGUAAGUAGGCCCGGAGGACGGCAGUAAGGAUGCCUUCGAUGGGAUAGUUCAAUGCCAACCAUACAUUAGAGCACGGAGCAGCGGCGGACGGAGUUUGGAGUUCUGCCCUCGCGGGCAGCGGUGUGGCGGAGGAGACGAUGGAGGACGCUGUCGGCUGGGCUCCCACUGGUGGACUCGGCGGACCCUUAAUGGCCAAGAAGUGUGGCAGAGCCCGAUUGGGACCCUUGGGACUUUAGCUCGCUGACUGAGGACCAUUUGGACUCUUUUUUUUUUAUUGUGCUGAGUUUUAUGUUUUUUUUAAUUAUUCCCUUCCCUGAUCAGGGUAUUUUUAUGCUGUAAAUAAAGUAUAUUUAUUUUUUAA